AAUUGUUCCCUAUGGCGAUCAUGACCCGCCUGAAUUCAAGCGUCAGAGUACAGAGUUCAACAGUGCUCUUUUAUCAAAAGGUGUUCACUCCACGUUGAUGGUCAUACCAGAUACAGACCAUUUUAAUGUGAUAGAAAAUCUACGUCUGGAGGAAUACAGUCUCAGUCAGGAAGUUAUAAAGUUAAUGAAUCUGAAUAUUGAUACAAUACUGGACCAGAUGCAGGUUGCAGCAAAUUUAUCUUAGCAUACAUAUAUAAACAUUUUGUGUAAAUUUUACUCACAUCAGAAUGGUUGCAAAUGGUGCAGGGAACCAGUUUUUCAAACUAGUAGUGUGAAAUGUAUAUAAAUUUGGGAACCAGCUAACAACAUACAUUAUAUGAGGAAACUGUCCAGCUAGAGAUACUUGUCUGCUCUACCUAAAUGCUCCCCUUAUUAUUUGUACAAGAAUGGUGUAGGGAACCAGUCUUUCAAACUAGUAGUGUGAAUUGUAUAUAAAUUUGGGAACCAGCUAACAACAUACAUUAUAUGAGGAAACUGUCCAGAUAGAGAUGGUUGUCUGCUCUACCUAAAUGCUCCCCUGAUUAUUUGCACCAGAGUAAGUUAUCAUAUUGGCAACUUGAAUACAGGGUAUAGUAAAAUAUCAAGAAGUACCGCUGUUUAAAUGUUAACAAUUGUGUAAAAGUUAACAAAAUAUGUGAACAUAGGAGCCUUAUCUGUCAGUUGUUUUGUAUUUAAGUCUAUUACAAUAAUUCAAUGUGGCCUGUUUGAUGAAAUUUUUGAACCAUAACUCUGCCUC